UUGUGUGAAUACAUAGCACAUUCGAGGUAGACGCAGAGAACUGAAACAUCUAAGUACCUGCAGGAAGAGAAAGAAAAUUCGAUUCCCUGAGUAGCGGCGAGCGAAACGGGAAAAGCCCAAACCAACAAGCUUGCUUGUUGGGGUUGUAGGACUCCAAUAUGGUCGUUCUUUCAGAUAGUCGAAUGACUUGGAAAAGUCAGUCAAAGAGGGUAAAAACCCCGUAGACGAAAUGUGGAAGACACCUAGGAGGAUCCUGAGUACGGCGGAACACGAGAAAUUCCGUCGGAAUCCGGGAGGACCAUCUCCCAAGGCUAAAUACUCCCUAGUGACCGAUAGUGAACCAGUACCGUGAGGGAAAGGUGAAAAGCACCCCGGAAGGGGAGUGAAAUAGAACCUGAAACCGUGUGCCUACAACAAGUCAAAGCCCGUUAAUGGGUGAUGGCGUGCCUUUUGUAGAAUGAACCGGCGAGUUACGAUUGCAUGCGAGGUUAAGUUGAAGAGACGGAGCCGCAGCG
rnacentral:rRNA from 1 species